GUGCUCUCUUCACAGCACGUAUGCUAAAAUUGGAAUGAUACAGAGAAGAUUAGCGUGACCCCUGUGUAAGAAUGGCACGCAAAUUGGGAAGUGUUCUGUAUUUUU
ensembl:snRNA U6 U6 spliceosomal RNA